rnacentral:rRNA from 1 species
AGAGUUUGAUCAUGGCUCAGGAUGAACGCUGGCGGCAUGCCUAAAACAUGCAAGUCGAGCGGUAAGGCCCCGUUCGGGGGUACACGAGCGGCGGACGGGUGAGUAACGCGUGGGAAUCUACCCCAUACUGAGGGAUAAGCAUUGGAAACGAUGUCUAAUACCGCAUAUGGUCUUCGGAUUAAAGCUUCGGCGGUUUGGGAAGAGCCCGCGUAAGAUUAGCUAGUUGGUGAGGUAAAAGGCUCACCAAGGCGACGAUCUUUAACUGGUUUGAGAGGAUGAUCAGUCACACUGGAACUGAGACACGGUCCAGACUCCUACGGGAGGCAGCAGUUAGGAAUUUUCCACAAUGGGCGAAAGCCUGAUGGAGCAAUGCCGCGUGCAGGAUGAAGGCCCUAGGGUUGUAAACUGCUUUUAUACGUGAAGAAUAUGACGGUAACGUAUGAAUAAGGAUCGGCUAACUCCGUG